UCUUCUUAUCAUCACAAGCAUGGACCAGCAAAGGUGUUUCUUUUAGGCACUACAUUAAUGGCGACGAGAUUGUUUUCUUUGGGACGUGCUACGUCUCUUCUUUGCAUUCCAUUCCUGGGCUACAAAACGACUACCGCUCAAAGAAGCCGGCAAAAAUAAGAGACGAGAAGGAGGAGACAGAGAGAGAGAGAGAAAGAGGAGGGGCUGACAUCAACUGACACCAGUGACGGCAACCCUGUCCAAAUCAAGGC